rnacentral:rRNA from 1 species
UACGAAGGGGGCUAGCGUUGCUCGGAAUUACUGGGCGUAAAGGGCGCGUAGGCGGCCUUCUAAGUCAGACGUGAAAUCCCCCGGCUUAACCUGGGAACUGCGUCUGAUACUGGGAGGCUUGAGUAUGGGAGAGGGAUGUAGAAUUCCAGGUGUAGCGGUGAAAUGCGUAGAUAUCUGGAGGAAUACCGGUGGCGAAGGCGGCUCUCUGGGACGGUACUGACGCUGAGACGCGAAAGCGUGGGGAGCGAGCAGG